CAGGCAGUAUAUCUUGUUCUUUUUACGGCGAGCCUAUUUAACGUACAUUCGGUUUCGGAUUCAGUUGAACUGCUGACGUUAACAAUAUUUCUGCUUAUAUUCUCUUUCUGCUGUGUAGUGUCAUCUGUGAUGUUGCUCGUUGGGCUUUGUGUGGACAACCGGUUAUUUCUUUUGCCGUGGGUUGCCUCUGUGUCUGGUGCCACCAUUCUGGAGUUGACGGUCUCAAUUUACUUUGCUCCCGAUGCGGUAGAAAACCCUAGCGUCGCCAUUUUUUUUGUAGCAGAUAUCAUGUUUUGUGCUCUUAGCGUAAGUUG